UGGGGAAUAUUGCACAAUGGGGGGAACCCUGAUGCAGCGACGCCGCGUGAACGAAGAAGGUAUUCGUAUCGUAAAGUUCUGUCCUAUGGGAAGAUAAUGACAGUACCAUAGAAGAAAGCUCCGGCUAAAUACGUGCCAGCAGCCGCGGUAAUACGUAUGGAGCGAGCGUUGUCCGGAAUUAUUGGGCGUAAAGGGUACGCAGGCGGUUUAAUAAGUCGAAUGUUAAAGAUCGGGGCUCAACCCCGUAAAGCAUUGGAAACUGAUAAACUUGAGUAGUGGAGAGGAAAGUGGAAUUCCUAGUGUAGUGGUGAAAUACGUAGAUAUUAGGAGGAAUACCAGUAGCGAAGGCGACUUUCUGGACACAAACUGACGCUGAGGUACGAAAGCGUGGGGAGCAAACAGG
rnacentral:rRNA from 1 species